AUGGUGUAUUAUACUAAACCUCUCAUGAACAGCAGCCAUCGACCAGGUCCUCCCAGAAAGGAGAGCAAUGAGGGUCCAGGGAUCUCCAUUAGCCAGGAAGCAAGAAAUGGCCAGAGAGGAAGGGAAGGAGUGCUGUGCUGCAGCCAGACAGCCGGAGCUCAUGAACACCAAGUAUCUGUUAAGACUGGCCCCGGGGAAGUCCAGCCUCCGGUCCAGAGCCGCUGGAUUUUGUUUGCUGCUGCCACUGAAGCCACUCCAAUUGCUGGCCUCUUCACUCCUGGAAACUUCACUACCCAAAUCCAGGCAACCUUCCAGGAGCCACAGCUUCUUGUGGCUACUGACCCCAGGGCUGACCACCAGCCUCUCACGGAGGCAUCUUAUGUUAACCUACCUGCCAUUGCUCUGUAACACAGACUCUCCUCUGCGCUAUGUGGACAUUGCCAUCCCAUGCAACAGCAAGGGAGCUCACUCAGUGGGUUUGAUGUGGUGGACACCAGCUCGGGAAGUUCUGUGCAUGCGUGGCACCAUUUCCAGUGAACACUUAUGGGAGGUCAUGCCUGAUCUCUACUUCUACAGAGAUCCUGAAGAGAUUGAAAAAGAAGAGCAGGCUGCUGCUGAAAAGGCUCUGACCAAGGAGGAAUUUCAGGGUGAAUGGACUGCUUCAGCUCCCGAGUUCACUGCUACUCAGUCCGAGGUUGUAAACUGUUCUGAAGGUGUGCAGGUGCCCUCUGUGACUAUUCAGCAGUUCCCUACUGAAGACUGGAGCACUCGGCCUGCCAUGGAAGACUGAUCUGCAGCUCCCACUGCUCACUCAGGCCACUGAAUGAGAAGGAGCAACCACUGAAUGGUCUUAAGCUGUUCUUGCAUGGGCUCGUAAGCAACAUGGGCUCUUAAGCAACACGGAAAUUAAAUUAAUGGGAAAUAAACAUGAGUUUCU